rnacentral:rRNA from 1 species
GACAGAGGUCCCGAGCGUUAGGCGGAAUCACUGGGCUUAAAGCGUGUGUAGGCGGAUCGUUAAGUGCCUUGUGAAAUCCCACGGCUUAAUCGUGGAACUGCUUGGCAUACUGGCGGUCUUGAGCCACUUAGGGGCAACCGGAACAAAUGGUGGAGCGGUGAAAUGCGUAGAUAUCAUUUGGAACGCCAAUGGUGAAAACAGGUUGCUGGGAGUGUGCUGACGCUGAGACACGAAAGCCAGGGGAGCGAACGGG